ACGCUGGCGGCGUGCCUAAUACAUGCAAGUAGAACGCUGAAGAGAGGAGCUUGCUCUUCUUGGAUGAGUUGCGAACGGGUGAGUAACGCGUAGGUAACCUGCCUUGUAGCGGGGGAUAACUAUUGGAAACGAUAGCUAAUACCGCAUAACAAUAGGUGACACAUGUCAUUUAUUUGAAAGGGGCAAUUGCUCCACUACAAGAUGGACCUGCGUUGUAUUAGCUAGUAGGUGAGGUAACGGCUCACCUAGGCGACGAUACAUAGCCGACCUGAGAGGGUGAUCGGCCACACUGGGACUGAGACACGGCCCAGACUCCUACGGGAGGCAGCAGUAGGGAAUCUUCGGCAAUGGGGGCAACCCUGACCGAGCAACGCCGCGUGAGUGAAGAAGGUUUUCGGAUCGUAAAGCUCCGUUGUAAGUCAAGAACGAGUGUGAGAGUGGAAAGUUCACACUGUGACGGUAGCUUACCAGAAAGGGACGGCUAACUACGUGCCAGCAGCCGCGGUAACACGUAGGUCCCGAGCGUUGUCCGGAUUUAUUGGGCGUAGAGCGAGCGCAGGCGGUUUGAUAAGUCUGAAGUUAAAGGCUGUGGCUCAACCAUAGUUCGCUUUGGAAACUGUCAAACUUGAGUGCAGAAGGGGAGAGUGGAAUUCCAUGUGUAGCGGUGAAAUGCGUAGAUAUAUGGAGGAACACCGGUGGCGAAAGCGGCUCUCUGGUCUGUAACUGACGCUGAGGCUCGAAAGCGUGGGGAGCGAACAAGAUUAGAUACCCUGGUAGUCCACGCCGUAAACGAUGAGUGCUAGGUGUUGGAUCCUUUCCGGGAUUCAGUGCCGCAGCUAACGCAUUAAGCACUCCGCCUGGGGAGUACGACCGCAAGGUUGAAACUCAAAGGAAUUGACGGG
rnacentral:rRNA from 1 species